rnacentral:rRNA from 1 species
ACGAACGCUGGCGGCAGGCCUAACACAUGCAAGUCGAGCGCUACCUUCGGGUGGAGCGGCGCACGGGUUAGUAACGCGUGGGAACCUACCUUUUAGUACGGGACAACGUUUGGAAACGAACGCUAAUACCGUAUACGCCCUCCGGGGGAAAGGUCAGCCGCUAAAAGAGGGGCCCGCGUCUGAUUAGCUUGUUGGUAAGGUAAUGGCUUACCAAGGCUACGAUCAGUAGCUGGUCUGAGAGGAUGAUCAGCCACACUGGGACUGAGACACGGCCCAGACUCCUACGGGAGGCAGCAGUGGGGAAUAUUGC